rnacentral:rRNA from 1 species
AUUGAACGCUGGCGGUAUGCUUAACACAUGCAAGUCGAACGGCAGCGCGGCAUUCGGGUGGGCUGCGAGCGGGGAACGGGUGAGUGAUUCAUGGGAACAUCCCCAGCCGUGGUGGAGAACACUUGGAAGGAAGUGCAAAUACCGCAAAAGUCCAGAGGAGGUAAGCGGGGGAUCGCAAGACCUGGCGCGCUUGGUGGGGUGGAUGUGAGAUUAGCUAGUUGGUGGGGUAAAGGCCUACCAAGGCGACGAUCUGUAGCUGGUCUGAGAGGAUGAGCAGCCACACUGGGACUGAGACACGGCCCAGACUCCUACGGGAGGCAGCAGUGGGGAAUUUUGGACAAUGGGGGCAAGCCUGAUCCAGCCAUACCGAGUGAGUGAAGAAGGCCUUCGGGUUGUAAAGCCCUUUUGGCAGGAACGAAACGCUGGACGCUAACAAAGAGCGGUAGUGACGGUACCUGAAGAAGAAGCACCGGCUAACUACGUG